rnacentral:rRNA from 1 species
UACGGAAGGUGCAAGCGUUGUUCGGAAUCAUUGGGCGUAAAGGGCGCGUAGGUGGUUCUGUAUGUCUACCGUGAAAGCAUACAGCUCAACUGCAUUUUGUCGGUAGAAACUGCAGGACUUGAGGCUGGGAGGGGCUGGUGGAAUUCCCUGUGUAGCGGUGAAAUGCGUAGAGAUGGGGGAGAACACUCGUGGCGAAGGCGGCCAGCUAGACCAGUUCUGACACUGAGGCGCGACAGCGUGGGGAGCAAACAGG